CUCCCUGUGGCUCAGUUGGUAGAGCAUGGUGUUUGCAACGCCAGCAUGGUGUGUACAACGCCAGGGUUGUGGGUUCGAUUCCCACAGGGGGC
rnacentral:tRNA from 1 species